GACGAACGCUGGCGGCGUGCCUAAUACAUGCAAGUAGAACGCUGAAGAGAGGAGCUUGCUUUCUUGGAAGAGUUGCGAACGGGUGAGUAACGCAUAGGUAACCUGCCUUGUAGCGGGGGAUGACUAUUGGAAACGAUAGCUAAUACCGCAUAACAAUGGGUGACCCAUGUCAUUCAUUUGAAAGGGGCAAAUGCUCCACUACAAGAUGGACCUGCGUUGUAUUAGCUAGUAGGUGAGGUAACGGCUCACCUAGGCGACGAUACAUAGCCGACCUGAGAGGGUGAUCGGCCACACUGGGACUGAGACACGGCCCAGACUCCUACGGGAGGCAGCAGUAGGGAAUCUUCGGCAAUGGGGGCAACCCUGACCGAGCAACGCCGCGUGAGUGAAGAAGGUUUUCGGAUCGUAAAGCUCUGUUGUAAGUCAAGAACGAGUGUGAGAGUGGAAAGUUCAC
rnacentral:rRNA from 1 species